UUUCUCAUUUAUCUGUUUAUUUAUAAUCAACAGGUACUACUGAUCUCUGUUGGUGUUUUUAUUGAAAAUUAAUAAGCAUGUGAUACAUUUUUUAUCAUUCUUCCUCAUGAUUUCUUUACUAUAUGAUUCUUCUCAUAUGUGGUACUUAAGAGUAGUUAAAGUCAUAGAAAACACCAAGUAGGAGAGUGUUUCCCAGGGGCUACAGGGAGAAUAAGGAGUUGUUUAAUGGGUACAGUUUCAGUUUCAAAAAAUGGAAUAUGCUUUUUAUAUAUGGAAAUGAUGGUAGCAAAAUAAUGAGUGUACUUAAUUCAUCUCAAUGGAAACCUUUAAAAUGGUUAAAAUAGUUAAUUUUAUGUGUAUUUUAACAUAAUGUAUAAAAUUAUUUUAAAUUUUUAUAUUAUUUUUUAAGAGACAGAGUCUUGCUCUGUUACCCAGAUGGGAGUGCAGGAGUGCAAUCAUUGCUUCCUGUAGCCUUGAACUUAUGGGCUCAACUGAUCUUUCUGCCUCAGUCUUCUGAGUAGCUGGAAUAGCAGACACAUGCCACCGUGCCUGGCUAAUUUUUAAUUUUUUUGUAGAGAGAGGGUCUCACUCUAUUGCCCAGGCUGGUCUAAAAUUCCCAGCCACAAGUGAUCCUCCCACCUUAACCUCCUAAAAUAUUUUAGGCUGAGCACGUUGGCUCAUGCCUGUAAUCUCAGUACUUACAUAUCUACAGCAGGAUUGAUGAAUAUUACAAAUAUGAUGUACAAAAGAAAGUAUAUGUAAAAGUAUACAUACUAUAUAAUGUCAUUUAUGUAAAAUCCAAAAAGAAUAUAAAAUUGAGGUUUUGGCUUUCAGUAAUAGUGGAGUAGCUUGUUGAACACUACUCUUACAAAUAAUGGUAAAAUCUGGAUACAAUGUCAUAUAUUAUAUAGAAACACACAUCUAUAUAUCAUACAUAUGAUAUAUGUGGGGAUAAGAAGCGAAUGAUAAUUUUAGCUGUGCCCACGGAAAGGGAGACAGGCAUUUGAAUUUGAAUCCAGCCAAAUUAACUCCCUCUUCAAAAACUAACAACACUCUUCAAAGGAAUACAACAGGAUCCAGAGUCUCUAUAAGUAUUAUUUACAGUUUUUAAAAUACAAUUUUAAAAUUUAAGAGACAUGAGAAGAAACACAAAAAUGUUAUCCAUACACAAGAUAAAACAUAGGCAUUAAAAGCUAUCCCCAAAAUGUCCAAGAUGUUGUUAUCAGCAGUCAAGUAUUUGAGAGCAGCUAUUAAAACUAUAGUCAUGGGGUGAAGAAAAAAAAUUCUCAUAAUGAAUGAAUACAUGUGGAAUCUCAGCAGAGAAAUGCACAUUAUUAAAAAGAACCAAAUAGAAAGAUAAUGAAAUUUUAAAUAGUACUUUUAGGUUGAUUCAUAGAUUAGAAAAAGACAGAACAAUUGAAAUUAUUCAAUCUGAAAAAAAGAGUAAAAAAAGUUUGAAGAAAAUGAACAGAGUCUUACAAUCUGUGGGCAGAUUGUGUCCUAGAAAGAGUGAAGGGACAGAAAAAUUAAAUGGGGUGCAAAAGUAACAAUAGCUGAAAACUUGCAAAAAUUUGUCAAAACCCCACAUUUUAUAUCCAAGCAGUCAACAGAUUCCAAAAAGAAAAUCCAAGUAAAAUCGUACAAAGGCCACAUUGUGAUUUAAGAAACUGGCAGGACAGGGCUUCCAAUUGACUUUCUAAAAUUUCUAAUUUUUACUAAUUAUAAUGAUGGAAAAUAGGUUAUCCUUGAGAGAUUUAUCUUGGAGAAAGUCUCACAUAUCAGGCACAGAUGACUAAGGGUUAUUAAAGGCAGAUGACUUUCUAGCCUUGUUUUAGAGUUUUAAUUUCUUACCUUGGAAAUAAAUUUGUUUCUUACAAAUCUUGUAGUAAAAGUGAUUCUCCAGAAAGAUGUGCCCAGGAUAUUCUCUCCUGCUGCAUCCUCCCUGCACAGAAUUGAAGCUGUGCGUACUUCAAUUUCAGAAAUGUACAAUAUGAAUUACUUAGUUAAUCUGAAAAACUAAAAGAAAAACAUGAAUUAAGGUAAUUACUUUUAUGUUCCUUCAGCAAAUUACUAAAAGUGGUUCCAGAGAUAUAUUUAAAAAUGAUUAUUAAAAGAGUUUUUAAGGGAGCCCUAUUCAGGGCAAAAAGACAUUGUACAUUACCUCAGUACACAAACUUUCCUAAUGUUUUGGGAAGGACCUAGGGUCCUGUUUUGUCCUUUUGGCCCGUGUUAACACUAGGACACCUGAUACCUGGGAACCAGCCUGUGUGGGAGUCACAGAGUGGUGGAUGUGGCUCCCAAAGUGGCUUAAAGGGGUCCCUUCUCUGUGCAGUUGAGUAUUCUGAUUGUACGAAGGAGUCAGGCCUUUCCCGUGUGACGUUUUCUCCUCUUUAUUACAGUGGCAGGCGCAUCCCUGCGAGAGGCCUGACCCAGGUGUGUAGGCCAAGCAGCCAGCCCGGAAAUCCAAUGGGGUGUUCUUGGGGUACAGAGGAGGAUCUGUGACAGUCCAGAGAGAGAGAAAGGAAAAGGUGGCUUUGAAGAGGCAAGUGCAAAGAUACCAGAGACGGGGUAUUGUCAUUUUAGGCAGUUAAUUGACGGUUUCACUUACCAGGGAGCUCCCAUCAUGGGCUCCCAAAAGGCCUGACAACUGCUAGGCCCACGGGCCAUUAGCUGCACCUUUACUGAGGGGCUGCACUAUGCAUGUCUGAAAGCCGCGUGGGACAGAGGAAGGGGCAGGGAUGAGGGAAAGGACGGGGUGAGGGAAGGAAGGGAGGGUAAACCUAACUACGGCAACCUUGAGCAGGCUGGAAGAGGCUUCCUCAGGUAGGGGUGAUGUCACAAUCACAGGUUGAGAUCAGCUGCCCGGGCCACGCUGGCUCCUCGCAGGCAGGCGAGAUUUGGGAACAGCCAGGAUCCCCUCCGCACGGGAGAACAGCUCUAGACGCGCAGAGGGGCGGAGUCCAAACGGGUGCCAUCACCGACCUGUCUACAAGCAACAUUGUAACAUAUUUCUGAGCCCAUCACAUGGAUAAUGUGACCCUUCUCUUUUUGUCCUGCCCCAAGUGAAGAUUGUGACAUGUCACCAGGCCCUUUGUCUAGGCAAUAUGACUCUUCUCUCCUGUCUGGGCCCUGAUUACAAGGGGGAUUGUGACAAUCACUGGGCCCAUCAUGUAGAUAAUAAGAGUUUCUCUUCCUGCCUGGGCCUUUUCUACAGAAAAGAUUAAGACAUCACUGGGCCAAGCACCCACAUGAUGUCACUCGCCUGCCUGCAUUCUGCCUACAGUGGGUAUUGUGACAUAUCCCUGGCACAGAACCAAGGUAACGUGACUCACCUACCUGGUUCCUGCCCACUGAUGGGAUUGUGACAUAUACCUAGGUCCAGCUCACAGGCAUGAUGAUAACUGUCAUACGUGGACCCAGCCAAUAAGAGAUUUUUGCUCUUAGGCUUAUUACAACAGAGUCUCGCUCUGUCACUCAGGCUGGAGUGCAGUGGCAUGAUCUCAGCCCGCUGCAACCUUCGCCUUCCAGGUUCAAGCAGUUCUCCUGCCUCAGCUCUUGGACAAAACUUCAGCACUCCUGCUAGGGUGUGUCUGCCCUACUAAGACACUGUGCGCAGGUGGAGUUGAGGCUCUUAUGUAUGGAUCCUGUCCACUGUUGAGAUUGUGAAUUGCAUGUGUAGACUCAACUCACAGGAGGUGUUGACUCACAAACCUCCAGCUGGGACAUGUGCAGGAUUAGAAAUUUUAUUUCUGGAUCUUUCUUCAGAAGGCGUUGUAACAUCUCACUAAGCCCAGCACUCAGGCGAUGUGGCUUUCCUGCUAUGGCACUGCACACAAGAAGAAUGUUGACAUAUUCCUGGCCCAGAAUUCAGGUGGAGAUGGAGCUCUCAUGCACGGAUCCUGUCCGAUGUUAAGACUGUGUCUCGUGUAUUUGGAUGCAACUCACAAGAGGUGUUGACUCUCAGACCUAAAGCUGGGAAAUAUGUAGAAUUGUGAAAUUUAUUCCUGGUCCUUCCCGCAGGUGUGAUUGUGGCGUAUAUGUUCACACAGCACUUAAUUUAUUUUACAAUUUGUUUGAACUCAGCCAACUGUUGGGACUGUGACAUAUACCUGGACCAAGUUCCUAGGUGAUGUAACUCUCCAGCCUGGGCCUUACCACAGGGUACAUUGUGACAUAUCUUUGGACUUAUCACCUAUGUGAUGUGACUCUACUGACUUGCCUUGUCUUGGCCUCCAUUGGGGAUUGUGGCAUAUUUCUGUGCCCAGUACCUAAGUUAUGUGACUCUUCUUUCCUGCUUGUGCAUUUAGAAGGGAUUGUGACAUAUUGCUGGGCCAAGAACCUAGGUGAUGUGACUCUCCUGCCUUGGCCCUGCCUUCAGGAAAAAUUGUGAUGUGACUCUGGGUUUAUUACCUAGAUGAUGUGACUCUUGUGUUCUGCAUGGGCAAGCCCAAAGGGGUCAUUGUGGCAUAUCUCUGGGCACAUCAAAGAAGUGGUGUAAUUUUUCUCUCAUUCCAGGACUCUAGUCUCAGUAGGGAUUGUGACAUAUCACUGGGCCCAUAACCUAUGUCAUGUGAUUCUAGUAUCCUGCUUGGGCCCUGCUUACAGGAAAGAUUGUGACAUUUGGCUGGGCCCAUCACCUAGUUAAUGUGACUCUCCUUUUCUUCCUGUGCCCUGCCCUCAGUGGAGAUUGUGACAAAUUUCUGGGCCAAUCAGCUGUGCAAUAUGACUCUGCUCUUUCCUGGGCCCUGCUAUCGGGGAGCAUUGUGACAUAUUGCCAGGCUCAGCACCUAGGUGAAAUUGUGGCAUAUACCUGGGUCCAGAUCACAGGCACAAUGAUGACUCUCUUACCUGGACACAGCCAGUGGGAAAUAUUUUGACUUUUGUAGCCAGGCUUAGGGCCACAGGUGGUUUGGUGACUCUCAAACCAUGAUUCAGCAGACCUGUGAGGCUGUGAGUUCCCUAUCAGAACACAAUCUGCAGGUUGUAUUGUGCCAUAUACCUGGGACCAAAUUACAAGCACAAUGAUGAAUCUUUUACCUGGAGUCAAGACAUGGGCAGGAUGAUGGAACUUAUCACUGGACCUUUCCACAGUGUUAUUGUGACAUAUGCCUUUGCCCAACAUGUGGUGAUUUGACUCCCCAGACUGGGUCCAGUUCACAAAUAAAAUUGUGCCGUAUACUUGGCCAAGAACCUAA